rnacentral:tRNA from 1 species
GCCCUUGUAGUUUAAUGGAUAAAACAAGUCCCUCCUAAGGACUAGAUCUCGGUUCGACUCCAGGCAAGGGCA